rnacentral:rRNA from 1 species
AAUGAACGCUGGCGGCAGGCCUAACACAUGCAAGUCGAGCGAAGUCUUCGGACUUAGCGGCGGACGGGUGAGUAACGCGUGGGAACAUGCCCUUUGGUUCGGAAUAGCCCCGGGAAACUGGGAGUAAUACCGCAUGUGCCCUUCGGGGGAAAGAUUUAUCGCCAAAGGAUUGGCCCGCGUUGGAUUAGGUAGUUGGUGGGGUAAUGGCCUACCAAGCCGACGAUCCAUAGCUGGUUUGAGAGGAUGAUCAGCCACACUGGGACUGAGACACGGCCCAGACUCCUACGGGAGGCAGCAGUGGGGAAUCUUAGACAAUGGGCGCAAGCCUGAUCUAGCCAUGCCGCGUGAUCGAUGAAGGCCUUAGGGUUGUAAAGAUCUUUCAGUGGGGAAGAGAAUGACGGUACCCACAGAAGAAGCCCCGGCUAACUCCGUG